UAUACGAUGGAAACCCUAGCCAACUCUCACGCCCGAACUCUCUCCUCCCUGCCGCAGCCGCCACGCUCCCUAUCUCUCUCUCCCACCCGAACACUCUCCUCUCCCCCAAACUUCUCCUUUCUGCCUCGCCGGCGCCGGUUCCUCCCCUCGCGCCGCCCUCCCUCGAAGACGAGGGCCACUCCGGCCGCCCCGGACCCCGCCGCCUCCGGAUCAGGCCGUCCCUGCCCCCGCCGUCACCGGAUCCGGCCUCCCUGACCCGGCCGCCCCGGCCCCCGCCGCCCCCGGAUCCGGCCUCCCUCGGUCCGCCCGUCGCCAACCCAGUCCGAGAUCCGCCGGAAAGCCGUCGCCACCGACGAAGAACCCGGCUCCGGCGCGCUGUGCAGCACCGGUGCAUGGUUCAGGAUGAGCUCACCGGAGGUGUGGACGGCAGCGUUCGCCGCCGUGUCUCGGCCCAUCCAUCACGGAUCCGGACGGCGUCUGGGUUUGGGCUGCAGUGCGGGCCGGGAGGGCAUUUCAAUUUUUUUUUUUGCAAAAACAUAUCACUGUCGGGCGUCGUGUGUGACCGUUACUGAUGGAGCAAGCAUCACUACGAGGCACACAUCACUGGCAGGAGUUAGUGACGAGCGGCCUGACCGCCAGUGAUGUUGUUUUUCGUCCGUUACUGAUGAAGGAUUCUGUAGUAGUGUGGGUCCCAUGUGUCGGAAACAACAUCAAACACUCUAAUCCACCCGAUUUGGGUUUUUUGAAACAAGCUGUCUUAAAAAGUGUGAUUCUGUGAGACUGUUAGUACAUAACCAUGGCCUGUUGAAACUCUAUCCCCAAGAAGUAAGAAGUGUGGUUUUGUGAAAUUUACUGUUUUCUUUACGGCUGUAUGCAUCUUUGAAAGAUGUUAAACGGAAUGUAUUAGGUGAAAUUGAUCUCUACGAUGACAACAGCUGUGCGGUUGGGAGUAAUUAAAGAUUAAAGAUAGGAAUUAAAGAU